rnacentral:rRNA from 1 species
UACGAGGGGGGCGAGCGUUGUUCGGAAUUAUUGGGCGUAAAGGGUGCGUAGGCGGCCUGACAAGUCUGAUGUGAAAUCCCUGGGCUCAACCCAGGGCCUGCAUCGGAAACUGUCGGGCUUGAGUAUGGGAGAGGUGAGUGGAAUUUCCGGUGUAGCGGUGAAAUGCGUAGAUAUCGGAAGGACACCUGUGGCGAAAGCGGACUCACUGGACCAUUACUGACGCUGAGGCACGAAAGCUAGGGGAGCAACAGG